rnacentral:rRNA from 1 species
UACGUAGGGGGCAAGCGUUGUCCGGAAUCAUUGGGCGUAAAGCGCACGUAGGCGGAUUGCUAAGUCAGGGGUGAAAUCCUGGAGCUCAACUCCAGAACUGCCUUUGAUACUGGCAAUCUCGAGUCCGGGAGAGGUGAGUGGAACUGCGAGUGUAGAGGUGAAAUUCGUAGAUAUUCGCAAGAACACCAGUGGCGAAGGCGGACUCACUGGCCCGGUACUGACGCUGAGGUGCGAAAGCGUGGGGAGCAAACAGGG